rnacentral:rRNA from 1 species
GAUGCGGAUGCCCGGUGCUUUGUGAUACACUUUCGAAGAGUCGAGUUGUUUGGGAAUGCAGCUCAAAUUGGGUGGUAAAUUCCAUCUAAAGCUAAAUAUUGGCGAGAGACCGAUAGCGAACAAGUACCGUGAGGGAAAGAUGAAAAGCACUUUGGAAAGAGAGUUAACAGUACGUGAAAUUGUUGGAAGGGAAACGCUUGAAGUCAGACUUGCUAUUCGGAAUUCAGCCGCAAGGUGUACUUUUCGAUUCGCAGGCCAGCAUCAGUUUUCGGGGAUGGAAAAGGGCAGAGAGAAGGUAGCAGUUUCGGCUGUGUUA